rnacentral:lncRNA from 1 species
UUAAGAUAGCAAUAGUUUUUGUUGAUAGAUGGGCAUUGUUUUAGAAUUUUUAAGCAAUAGGUUGCAUUUUUUAAAGAAAUUUUCUAAAAACUGCUAUUUUAGGAAAGUUAUUACUUUUAUAGAGAAAUAUUGUAGAUUUGGGAUUGUGAUUGAGAAAUUAGGAUAACAAGAGUUUUUGUUGGUAGAUGGACAUUCUUUUAGAUUUUUUAAACAAUAGGUUGCAUCUUUUAAAUAAAUGUUCUAUAAACUUCUAUUUUAGAAAAAUUAUUAUUUUGUAGAGAAAUAUUGUAGAUUUGAAAUUGUGAUUUAGAAAUUAGGAUAACAAGAAAAUUUUUUUGAUAGAUGAGCGUUAUUUUAGAAUUUUUGAUCAAUAGGUUAUAUUUUUAAAUAAAUUUUCUAAAAAGUGCUAUUUUGGUAAAGUUAUCAAUUCUUGUAGAGAAAUAAUGUUGACUUGCGAUUAUGGUUGGGAAAUUAGGAUAACAAGAUUUUUGUUGAUCGAUGGGCAUUCUUUUAGAAUUUUUGAUCAAUAUGUUGCAUUUUUUAAAUAUAUUUUAUAAGAACUGCUAUUUUAGGAAAAUCAUCAUUUUUGUAGAGAAAUAUUGUAGAUUUGGGAUUGAGAAAUUAGGAUAACAAGAGUUUUUGUUAAUAGAUGGGCUUUCUUUUAUAACAUUUGAGCAAUAGGUUGCAUUUUUUAAAGAAAUUAAAAACUGCUAGUUUUGGAAAGUUAUUACUUUUGUCGAGAAAUAUUGUAGAUUUGAGAU